UGGCGACCGGCGCACGGGUGCGUAACGCGUAUGCAACCUACCUUUAACAGGGGGAUAACACUGAGAAAUUGGUACUAAUACCCCAUAAUAUUAUAGAAGGCAUCUUUUAUGGUUGAAAAUUCCGAUGGUUAGAGAUGGGCAUGCGUUGUAUUAGCUAGUUGGUGGGGUAACGGCUCACCAAGGCGACGAUACAUAGGGGGACUGAGAGGUUAACCCCCCACACUGGUACUGAGACACGGACCAG
rnacentral:rRNA from 1 species